rnacentral:tRNA from 1 species
GGUGGCUCAGUGGUAGAGUGCUUGUCUUGCAUGCAUGAGGCUCUGGGUUCAAUUCCUCAGUACCA